AUUGAACGCUGGCGGCAUGCCUUACACAUGCAAGUCGAACGGUAACAGGUCUUCGGAUGCUGACGAGUGGCGAACGGGUGAGUAAUACAUCGGAACGUGCCCGAUCGUGGGGGAUAACGAAGCGAAAGCUUUGCUAAUACCGCAUACGAACUACGGAUGAAAGCGGGGGAUCUUCGGACCUCGCGCGGACGGAGCGGCCGAUGGCAGAUUAGGUAGUUGGUGGGAUAAAAGCUUACCAAGCCGACGAUCUGUAGCUGGUCUGAGAGGAUGAUCAGCCACACUGGGACUGAGACACGGCCCAGACUCCUACGGGAGGCAGCAGUGGGGAAUUUUGGACAAUGGGCGCAAGCCUGAUCCAGCCAUGCCGCGUGCAGGAUGAAGGCCUUCGGGUUGUAAACUGCUUUUGUACGGAACGAAAAGGUGCCUUCUAAUAAAGGGCGCUCAUGACGGUACCGUAAGAAUAAGCACCGGCUAACUACGUG
rnacentral:rRNA from 1 species